GUCUUUAAGGCAAGCAUCAGAGGUAGGAGUAUGAAUAGAGGUUAGACAUAGGUAAUUUCUUCUAAAAGCUUCAUAUGAUUUACUAGUAUGAAUUACAAUGAAGAAAACUAGUGUUACUAGACAGCUCAAGGGGAAUUAGUUUCCAGGCACAAUGGAGUAGCAUCUAUACCCCCAAACCACUACAUUAACAUGCAAAAUAUUAUGUUAAAAGGCCCCUUUAAAGACUAUUGUUUUACCAAAAUAGUCUUCAUGUGGCCAACAUUAGAACAGGAAAUUAGUUAUGUAUAAUUUAAACAUUUUACACGCAAGACAUUGUGAAGUGUUUAAUAUUCUAAUAUGCAUGAACAGACUUUAUGUAACAUACUUAGCAGCAAUGUUUCUCUGUUAGCCCAGAUAUCUCCAAGUUCUCUUCAUAUGAAUGAGAAAAAUAAAUAGAUCUAGAUGAAGGAGAACAGUCACAGUGCAAAUCUUGGCUGGACAGUCCAUACAAUGCCAUUACACUAAAAGCAGCACAAGAAAUUC